rnacentral:lncRNA from 1 species
GUUAAAGAAAUCCGAAUUCUGUCCAACAUCAAAGAGAAGCAUGGCCAGGCAUCAUGGUUCCUACCUCCGAUCCUAGCAGCAGAAGGCAGAGGCAGGAAAAGUGUGAAUUUGAGGCCAGCCUGGGCUCCUUAAGGAGAUCCUGUUUCACAAAACCAAGGGUUGGGAAAUAUAAUCCAGAGGUUGAGGGCUUCCUUACUCUGUGCAAGGCACUGGGUUCUAUCCCCAUACAAUGUGAAAAACAAACAAACAAACAAACAAAAAUAGGUUAAAACAAAGAGCAAUGCAUUUGGAGAGCUUCUCUCUUCCCAAGAAUCCAGGCUUGAAUGAGAAGUGUAACUGCUGUUUUAAACAACCAACCUACGUCUGUGUUCUCUGCAUAGAUAGCAUGCACACUCUAGUCUGCCAAGAUCGUCCUGCCAUGUAUACUGGUAGUUAUAUUCAAACCCUGAGGUAGUAGGAAUAACUUAUAUGCCUCCAUUUCCACCACAUUUUUUUCUGUGUACGGUUCUCUAAUACUUCCAAGGGAAGCAAUGGUGGGUACCCUGACUUAUUGAAUAGAACCAUCAAAAGCACUUUGAUAUAUUUUCUCAUACCAGAAUCUGAUUUUAAUCCUAUUAAUGUCUUAGAGGAAAUGGAGUUAUUUUCAUAAUUUUUCUUUGUUUAUAAAUCGAAUUUUAGUAGCCAUCCCUCCUCCUUCCAGAAAGGAUUUUGAGCUACUAAAUAAUUGAAACCAAUUGGGUUCAUUUAAAACACAGCUCUACUCAUAGCCAAUGAUGCUUACUGUAAGAAGUCAUGUAUUCGAAUCUCAACAGGUUUCCUUUUUAGCAAAGUAUAUAAUGUGUGGUACCCACCAAGGAGGCUGAGGAGUGGUGGGCUUCCUUGAGUUUAUAAGCUUUGGAAAGAAGCCAAGGAUAGUUUUGAGUGAGAAAAGAGAAAAUAAAUAAAUAAAUAAAUAAAUAAAUAAAUAAAUAAAUACCAAACUCUGAAACAGUACCAAGAAAAAAUAUUAAUAGAUUUUUCUCUUUGGGAAAAGAUUCCUAAGACCAACACCGGGGUUGAGAGGGUAAAGGCACAUGCCACCAAGCUUGAUGGCUACAGUUGAAUCCCUGGAAACCACAUGGUGGAAGGAGAGAAGUGGGCUCCUGAUAGCUGCUCCCUGGCCUCCACAUGUGUGCUGUGACUCCACAUGUGGUAUGGUGUGUGUGUGUGUGUGAGUGUGUGUGUGUGUGUGUGUGUGUGUGUGUGUGUGUGUGUGUACAGCUAGGCACAUAGGUACUACUGAGAAAUUGAAAAAAAAAAAUGAUGCUCAGUGUCACAGUGUCAUUAGUCAGACCAGAACAGGUGGGAAGCCCAGUGGCUAUGCACAUGGAGGAAAUACUCUCAUCUACCCAGAGCAGCAAGGGCUGCCUGGCUGCAGCAGUAUUCUUACAUAUGUUGACUCUGCAGACCUGAGUGGGUUCCUUUAACACCAUGUCAUUCUGAAAUUAGCUGGGCUGGUUGGCAUGGAUCUCAGAAAUGGGAAAGCAGCUCUUCAUUGCUAGAACACCCAUCACUGUUUCCACGGGCUUAGCGGUUGACAUGUUUGGUUAACCAUUUUGUUAGCUUCUGGUUAACCAUUCAUGGCUUGAAAACCUUACAGAAGUGGGGAAAUUCUAAUAUAAAUUAUAAAAUUCUAAUAUAAUUAUUCCUAUAAUAUGUUAUUCCUAUAAAAUAAAAUCCUUAGCUGGGCGUGGUGGUGCAUGCCUUUAAUCCCAGCACUUGGGAGGCAGAGGCAGGCAAAUUUCUGAGUUUGAGGCCAGCCUGGUCUACAGAGUGAGUUCCAGGACAGCCAGAGCUAUACAGAGAAACUCUGUCUGGAAAAAAAACAAUAAAUAAAUAAAUAAAUAAAUAAAUAAAAUCCUUGCACGGUGCAAUUUCUUCCUUAUCUGUUAUAUCAGAAGUAGACUCCCUUUACAGAUAAGAAGAAAUGAAGAAAUUCCUUGGUAAUACCCCUGGUGAUUAAUUUAUCUUGAAAUUAGGGUGGAGUAGACAAUUUUCAAAGGGGGAAGUUGAACUUAUUUUUGGGUGGGGAAUAUUUCAACUCAAUCUUGUAUUCAUUUGUAUUCAUGAUACUCUGUCUCAGCUCUGCCAACAGAUGUUAGACCUGUAAGAAGAAGGUAUUUCCAACCUCUGGUAGAAGUUUCUCACCUCGAGCCUUCUUGCCUUCCCUCUGCC